AUUGUGGGUUUUGUAAGUUUAAUAAUUUUGAUCGUGGAUUUUGUUAUUCAACGAUUUUGAUUGUGGUAAAACGAGUUGCAAGUGUCAGAACUUCCCUAUGUAGUUUGUUUACUGUGGAUUUUGUAAGUUCAAUUAUUUUAGUCGUGGGUUUUGAGAGAUGGGUGUCCGAGUUGUCAUUCUAAUUAAUUUCUAGAAAAGGGUGAGAAUCAUUAAGAAGAUCUGCAGAGUAAAAAGGGAGGACCAAGUUCAGUUUCAGGGGGCUUUAACAAGGAGUAAAAAAAUGGGUUCAAAUUUAAGAAGGAAGAGCAGCAAAACUCAAUUUGCUUAUAUAACUUACAUGCAUUGGAUCUGCAUUGGGAGUUAAGAUGAAUUCUGGAAAUAGUUUAAAACCCUGUCUAUUUUAUGAACUGGGCUAUUCUGCAUCCAUAUUAACACCACCAUGAUGCCUUGCUACACGCUCUACGAAUCCUAAUCCUGAUCUGGGAUGUACUUUAAAGGUCAAUUAUCUCUUGCUCUCUCCCACUGUGUCGGCGUAGUAUCCUUUAUGGACAGACUGUAAAUUUUUGUUGCAUAAAGGUAAUGAGUUUGAUAAGAUGAUCCCACUCUUUGAAAAGCAACUAGAUUUGUGAAUGAAAUAUUUUCCUUAAUUGGAUGUAAUCAGGUCGAAGAGCCGGAAUCCUUAGCUUAGCUGGCAUAUACAUCUUACUUUUAGGAUGCAAAACUGUAGAAGUUAUUUACCAAUUCCGGAUAACACACUUUGUAGAAUUGUCCCUUAAAAUGACCAUCCAUUCCUAUCGUUCCUAGGUGUACAAAUGGCCAAAACAAGUCUGAAGUAGGGUCUAAAGAUGAAUAAUGUUCACAACUAUAAGCUCAAUCCACUUUAUAUUACUUCAUAUUAAUCCCACUUAAAUUGGAAAUAGUAUCUGCUGUCUUAGCUCAAAUGGAAGAACACGUGGAAAAAAUAGUGAUUCCAUUGUUUGAUGCUCACAGAAUGGGACUCCAGUGGAACAGAUGGAGUAGGACCAGGAUCUCGAGAAGCUUUUAAGAAAUCUUCUUGCUUACGAGAUUACUUUAAUCGUAUUGGGUGCCAGAGUCUAUCAUAGUUUGCAGAAGGCAUCUCCCUCAUUCUCUUUUGAUAGGUAAAGCCUCAGGUGAUUGUGACAAACGGCAAAGAUUGUAUUACUAGAUAGCUGAAUAUCCCAAAUUCACUCAUGAGAAAUUUGACAAUGAAAAAGUGGAUAGAAUGGUGCAGUUAUCCUAGGUGGAUGUAAUACUGCACAUGCUGCAACUCAGUGAGUUAUAUUUGAAACACAAGACAUUAGUUUCUUUUGGAUAAAUGGUUCUCGCAGUACAGAUGCUCUUGUCUAGAAUGAUUCACCGUACAUUAGUUGCAAGCGCAUAGACAUGAAAGGUGGAAAAAGGAGAAGACAAGGCAGGUUAUUAUAUAAUUUACCAUCUUUCAUUAUAGAAAAAAAAAUUAAGUUCACUGUGAUGUUGGAUUCCCCUAAUGAUUUACUGUACGAUAGCUGCAACACGUAAACAUCAGUAGCUGCAUCUUAAUCUUUUGAAUGCUACUGCAUGUUAAGAGAACGUAUUAAAUUAUUGAAUUUUUAUGCAGACUGGUGAGCUUACUAAAGUUCUAUCAUGAGCAUCAACUUUUAACUGUUUUGUUCAGGGCUUUCAGGCCAAC